rnacentral:rRNA from 1 species
GUAGGUGGCAAGCGUUGUCCGGAAUUAUUGGGCGUAAAGCGCGCGCAGGCGGUUCUUUAAGUCUGAUGUGAAAGCCCACGGCUCAACCGUGGAGGGUCAUUGGAAACUGGAGAACUUGAGUACAGAAGAGGAAAGCGGAAUUCCACGUGUAGCGGUGAAAUGCGUAGAGAUGUGGAGGAACACCAGUGGCGAAGGCGGCUUUCUGGUCUGUAACUGACGCUGAGGCGCGAAAGCGUGGGGGAGCAAACAGGAUUAGAUACCCUGGUAGUCCACGCCGUAAACGAUGAGUGCUAAGUGUUAGGGGGUUUCCGCCCCCUUAGUGCUGCAGCUAACGCAUUAAGCACUCCGCCUGGGAGUACGGCCGCAAGGCUG